ACUGCAAACCGGGUUAUCGCUCCUGUUAAAUCAGGGGAGGAAAGUCCGGCCAGCUUAGGGCGACACACCGGUUAAUGGCCGGUCCCGGUUUUUACCGGGGAGAUAGUGCCACAGAAAAUAACCGUCCGGGUAACAGCCGGGAUAAGGGUGAAAAUGUGAGGUAAGAGCUCACGGUCUUGGCAAGUAAUUGUCAGGAUGGGUAAACCUUGUGUGUUGUAAUGCCACGUAUAUUCCGUUUUGCGCUAAAGCGCAAAGUAAGCUGCCCGUUUAUUCCUGGUGUAUCCGGGAGCGGGAAGGGUAGGCAGCAAGAUUGUUGCAGUAAUGUAACAGCAAGAUAAAUGAUAACCGCCCGUUGCAAAACGGGACACAAAAUCCGGCUUACAGGUUUGCAGUAAUU
rnacentral:RNase_P_RNA from 1 species